rnacentral:rRNA from 1 species
UACGGAGGGUGCAAGCAUUAAUCGGAUUUAUUGGGCGUAAAGGGCGCGUAGGCGGCAAGGUAAGUCAGCUGUGAAAGGUUGGGGCUCACCCCCAAGACAGCAGUUGAAACUGCCUUACUAGAGGGUAGGCGGAGAAAACGGAAUUCCACAAGUAGCGGUGAAAUGCGUAGAUAUGUGGAAGAACACCGGUGGCGAAAGCGGUUUUCUAGCUUAUACCUGACGCUGAGGCGCGAAAGCGAGGGGAGCAAACAGG